AUUAUGUAACAUCCCACAACUUG
rnacentral:piRNA from 1 species